rnacentral:rRNA from 1 species
GAUGAACGCUGGCGGCGUGCUUAACACAUGCAAGUCGAACGAGAAGUGAAGACGGAAACCUUCGGGCGGAAGGCUUUAUUUCGAGUGGCGGACGGGUGAGUAACGCGUGGGUAACCUGCCUCAUACAGGGGAUAACAGUUGGAAACGACUGUUAAUACCGCAUAAGACCACAGCACCGCAUGGUGCGGGGGUAAAAACUCCGGUGGUAUGAGAUGGACCCGCGUUCGAUUAGCCAGUUGGCGGGGUAACGGCCCACCAAAGCGACGAUCGAUAGCCGAUCUGAGAGGAUGACCGGCCACAUUGGGACUGAGACACGGCCCAAACUCCUACGGGAGGCAGCAGUGGGGAAUAUUGCACAAUGGGGGAAACCCUGAUGCAGCGACGCCGCGUGAGUGAAGAAGUAUUUCGGUAUGUAAAGCUCUAUCAGCAGGGAAGAAAAUGACGGUACCUGAGGAAGAAGCCCCGGCUAACUACGUG